AAGUUUGUAAUUUAAUAAAAUGUCGAUUUGUGGAGUCGAAUUUAGCUAGAAGCUCAAGCUUU
rnacentral:tRNA from 1 species